CCACCCCUCACCGCCCCCAGCACAGGCAAUAAACACCGGCCCCGGCGCCUCUGCUCCCGGGACUGGGGGUGCUCGGCUGUCCUGGACGUGUGGGCUCAGCAAGGAGGGCACCUGGAAAGUGACAUCCACUGGCACUGGUUAUUCCAGAGGCAAGGGAAACACACUGCCUCCCACAGUCAUCAGGAAACCCCUCCUGCUCCUGCUCAGCAAUGGCACCUGCAGAGCAUCGUCUCGAAAGAUGGAAACCUGAUGGGAACCAGAGAUGAGGGGCUGGUCCUGAGGCAGGGGACAGGGACAGGAGGGUUUUGGGGGUAACCUGCCUCCAGCAUGAGCCGCAGCUGCUGCUGCAACAUCAGGGAAGCAAGCGAUGAUCAAAGGAACUUUUCCAUCCCCAAUCUCUGCCUGGACUCCCUUCUCGCUGUAAAAGCUCUCUCAGAAGUUUAAAAAUAAAAUUCUGUUCCGGAGCCA